CAUAUCAAUAAGCGGAGGAAAAGAAACCAACAGGGAUUGCCUCAGUAACGGCGAGUGAAGCGGCAACAGCUCAAAUUUGAAAUCUGGCCUUACGGUCCGAGUUGUAAUUUGUAGAGGAUGUUUUGGGUACCGCCACGGUUUAAAUUUCUUGGAACAGAAUGUCAAAGAGGGUGAGAGUCCCGUCUUGGAUCGUGGUAGGGCCUGUGUAAAACUCCUUCGACGAGUCGACUUGUUUGGGAAUGCAGGUCAAAAUGGGUGGUAAAUUUCAUCUAAAGCUAAAUAUUGGCCAGAGACCGAUAGCGCACAAGUAGAGUGAUCGAAAGAUGAAAAGCACUUUGAAAAGAGAGUUAAACAGUAUGUGAAAUUGUUGAAAGGGAAGCGCUGGCAAUCAGACUCGUGCGCGGGGUUCCCCUGGGCUUCUGCCUAGGUUACUUCCCCGUGUCCGGGCCAUCAUCAGUUUCGGGGGUCGGUUAAAGGCUCUGGGAAUGUAUCGACUCCUUCGGGGGUCGACUUAUAGCCCAGGGUGUCAUGCGGCCACCCGGGACUGAGGAACGCGCUUCGGCGAGGAUGAUGGCGUAAUGGUUGUCAGCGACCCGUCUUGAAACACGGACCAAGGAGUCUAACAUCUAUGCGAGUGUUCGGGUGUCAAACCCUUGCGCGGAAUGAAAGUGAACGGAGGUAGGAAGGCUUAAGCCUGCACUAUCGACCGAUCCUGAUGUCUUCGGAUGGAUUUGAGUAAGAGCAUAGCUGUUGGGACCCGAAAGAUGGUGAACUAUGCGUGAAUAGGGUGAAGCCAGAGGAAACUCUGGUGGAGGCUCGCAGCGGUUCUGACGUGCAAAUCGAUCGUCAAAUUUGCGUAUAGGGGCGAAAGACUAAUCGAACCAUCUGGUAGCUGGUUCCUGCCGA
rnacentral:rRNA from 1 species